UUACAGAGCGCUGAAUGUUCCUUUUUGACAGGGUGCUGAUUGGUGCAUUUACAAUCCCUGAGCUAGACACAAAAGUUCUCCAUGUCCCCACUAGAUGAGCUAGAUACAGAGCACUGAUUGGUGCAUUUACACACCUUGAGCUAGACACAGAGUGCUGAUUGGUGUAUUUACAAUCCCUUAGCUAAACAUAAAGGUUCUCCAAGUCCCCACUAGACUCAGCAGCCCAGCUGGCUUCACGUAGUGGAUCCUGCACUGGGGUCGCAGGCGGAGCUGCCCGCUAGUCCGGCACCUUGCGCCCGCACUUCUCAGCCAUUGGGCAGUUAAUGGGACCGGCGCCGCGGAGCAGGGGGCGGCGCUGGUCGGGGAGGUUUGGGCAGCGCAGGAGCCCACUGCGGGGGCGAGGCUUGGGCAUGGCGGGCUGCAGGUCCUGAGCCCUGCCCUGUGGAGAGGCAGCUGAGGCUCAGCAAGAAUUCGAGUGCAGCGCUGGUGGGCCGGCACUGCUGGGGGACCCGGCGCACCCUCCGCAGCUGCUGGCCCGGGUGGUAAGCCCCUCACUGCCCGGGGCCCGCGCCGCCGGCGGGCGGCUCAGAGUGCGGGGCCCUCUGAACCCACACCCACCCGGAACUUGCGCUGGCCCGAGAGUGCCGCUCGCAGCCCCGGUUGCCGCCCACGCCCCUCCCUCCACACCUCCCUGCAAGCAGAGGGAGCUGGCUCCGGCCUCGGCCAGCCCAAUGAGGGGCUCCCACAGUGCAGCGCGGGGCUGAAGGGCUCCUCAAGCGCUGCCAGAGUGGGCGCAAAGGCCAAGGAGGCGCCGAGAGCAAGGAGCAAGCGAGGGCUGAGGGCUGCCAGCAAGCUGUCACCUCUCAAAGAGCAGUGUGAUGGAGGCAGCAAAAUGUGUGGAACCGUCAUUAUGAAGAAGGCAAUGCUCUCCUGCACCAGGGAGCUCUUCACCCCACAACUACAGAGCUCCUGUCUUCCAAGGUUCCCGAACUGUUCUGGGAAGUGCUCCUAAUCACCUGAGGUUUACAUACAAACAACCCCAGGACAUUUCAUUUAGCUACCAAUGUCAUGAUUACCAAAAAUUAAUUAACAAUAUGGUGGUCGUCAUCACAUCUGAGUCACCAAAUCAAAAUUCAGGACACAUUUCCAUGCAAAGUGCAGCCUUCUUCUUACGUUUCAUAAUUGUCAUUUCAAAUGAGAUCUUGGUUGGAAACAAUUGCUUAACUGUUUCAAGGUAUACUGGGUUAUCACUAACUCAUUUCUGUAAAGCAGAAUACAAGACCUCAACCUGUUAGAGAUCCUUUGUUGAUUAACAAGCUGAUUAAUAAGCUGAUUGUUCUCCUGAUUUAAGGCCUAUACCAAAAUUCUUGAAGCUCAAUUUGCACCACAGAGUACGCCAAUAUGUUUGAGUGAACUGGCUCUGGCUCUCCGAAGCUGUUUUGUAAAGACAAGAGACUAUAAGCCAUGGUUCCCAGUCAAUUGUCCACCUACACUGAGGUCAGAUCUUCCCCAUUCAGUCUACCGACUCACACAUCAAUCUUCUCUGGAAAACAUCCUCACAGAAACAUCCAGAAACAAUACUUUACCAGUUGUCUAGGUAUACCUUAAUCCAGUCAAGCUGACAUCUCAAAUUAGCCACCACAAAUACAUUUUUUUUCCAAAAUAUCUAGGCACUACUAGAUAAGCAUAUUUUUAAAAUGUUUUCUUCCCACUGUGUAAACUUAGAAAAUAAUAGAGAGAUUUACAAAGCUAUGCUAUAUUCACGAUCCAUUAAAAUAAUAUAUAUUUUAUGAGAGAGACUUUUGCUGCUACCAACAUUCCAAAACCCUCUUUACCUCAAACAAUGUUAAAGAUGGUAUUUGUUUAAUAUUGGAAAAGGAUUAUGCCACAACCACUUAAUCAAAAUCUUGUUUAGUGUCAGUAUCUAUUCAAUUUUGCAUGUCCCAGCUUGAUGGAAACUAACUACCUCACAGCACUCCAUAAAUAUUUAUAUCGUAAUCCAUUAUUGAUAUCUUACAAACAUUUUACUAUAGCUUGCUAAUGGCUGCAACAUGACAGUUCUGGAUGGAACUGAACAAUUAUUUUAAUUUUAUUUCCAUAGGAGAUGCUUUGCACAUGUAAAAACAAAAAUGCCAGUUUAAUUGGGGUACUUACUACCAACACAAAACAAAAGCAUAGUAUCUAAAAUCAAGUCCUGAAAAUGAAUGAAAAAAUGUUUUCAAGAAUUUUUUAACACGAAAAUUACAAUUCCCUAUUAUGUUAAAAUCUCUCACACUUGUAUUACAACCUAUCAUACUCAGAUAAUUUAUUUAAAUCUCAAAGUAUCACUAUAAUAUAGGAAAUAUUUCAAUGUUCCCACUUUCCAAAUGAAGAAAAUGAGCAGUACAGAAAACUUUAAUGACUUACGCAAAGGCACACAGCUAUCUGGGACUAAAAUAAGAGCUUUUGCCUCUUAUGCUCAUGACACCAAUAACUUAGCCUCUUGCCACAAGUGUAUCCUCCUUUAUAUAUAUUUCUUACCUUACACAUAUGCUAAAAGCUUCACCUGUAUGACAUAUAUAAAAUUAUUCUUGUACACCUCCUAAAUGAAGGUAUACAAGCCAUCCUAAUAUGUACCUAGUGUGUGAGUUUAUUUCAGUCUUUACUCAUCUGUUUUCUGUUUUAGACUGUCAGUUCACUGAACCAGAGUUAGUAUUUUUGAAAAGCAGGAUAGGUAGUUUUCAGCAUCAGAUGGAUAAAGAUGAGGUCAAGUCAAAAAGAGCAGCAUGUGUGCAGAACGUGAGAGCAACAGAGGAAACAGACCUGUAGGUGUUCAGAUUCUAAAUCUGCCAUUUACUCGUCGUGUGAUAGUCAAUAACUUAUUUUCCUGAAGCAUCAGUAUUAAAUGAGGUAAUGUAAUAUAAGUGCUUAGCACAAGCAUAACACAGAGUAAAUUUUCAGUUAAUUAAAUGAUAAUUGAUGCUUUUACACACAAAAAAAACCACUUAUUGUAUUUAGAGUUUAUAACAAAGAGAGCUAUUUAUUAUCUGUUCAAGGAAAGAAGAUUUAUGUAUUAUUAUUCCUAUUAAAGAUUAUACCAUCUCAUGUAUUGUGAAAGCUGACCAGUAGUGGUGAAAAGUCUUCCCAUAUGUAUAAUCCUUUAUAAAACAUAUUUAUUUCCAUUUUUCAUUUGAGCCACUGAAAAGUUCUGUGAAUUUAGUUUAUUUUUUAUCAUCAUCAUCAUCAUCAUUUCCAUACUUAAAUUGAGCAGACUGAGUUUAGAAGAGGUAAAGUAAUAGGCUCAAAUUCUUUCACCCAAUCUCUACACCAAAUCAGUUGCCAGCAUGUUUCUCAUUUUCUGAAUUUUUGAUAGUGCUGGAUGUAAAACCUGACAUGAGUUGUAUAGCAACAAAUAACCACAAUAAAAUCAUCAGCCAGGUUUCUUUUAAGCUCCCACAAUCCCAUCAUGUUCAUUAAUUUUUAACAUAAUUCACUUUAAACAGAAUUUUCUAAUGGGUAAGAAAGAGUUAGGAGGGUAUUCACCAAGACAUCUUUUGUCAGCCUAUGGCAAACCAGUUUAAUUUAUUCUUUGGUCAACCUCAGUGCCACGUUUUCAGUUAUUUUUUAAGACUACCACAACGGACUUGUAGACAUGUGUUUGAAAAAAUGUGAUUCUCAAUUCACAAUAGCAUAAUGAAGAGGUAAUAGUACUGAAAAGAAAUCAGAAGCAUUCCCUUUAGCCAGUUAUCAAGAUGCAAUAUAGAAAUAUGAUUAUGGGCCGGGCGCGG
rnacentral:lncRNA from 10 species